GAUGAACGCUGGCGGCGUGCCUAAUACAUGCAAGUCGAGCGAACGGACGAGAAGCUUGCUUCUCUGAUGUUAGCGGCAGACGGGUGAGUAACACGUGGAUAACCUACCUAUAAGACUGGGAUAACUUCGGGAAACCGUAGCUAAUACCGGAUAAUAUUUUGAACCGCAUGGUUCAAAAGUGAAAGACGGUCUUGCUGUCACUUAUAGAUGGAUCCGCGCUGCAUUAGCUAGUUGGUAAGGUAACGGCUUACCAAGGCAACGAUGCAUAGCCGACCUGAGAGGGUGAUCGGCCACACUGGAACUGAGACACGGUCCAGACUCCUAAGGGAGGCAGCAGUAGGGAAUCGUCCGCAAUGGGCGAAAGCCUGACGGAGCAACGCCGCGUGAGUGAUGAAGGUCUUCGGAUCGUAAAACUCUGUUAUUAGGGAAGAACAUAUGUGUAAGUAACUGUGCACAUCUUGACGGUACCUAAUCAGAAAGCCACGGCUAACUACGUG
rnacentral:rRNA from 1 species